CGUGGUCACACCACCCUGAAAACGCCCGAUGCCGUCCCCAGCCUCGGAAGCUGAGCAGGGUCAGGUCUGGCUGGUACUUGGAUGGGAGAAGGACAGAAAGAACCCAGGU
rnacentral:rRNA from 1 species